UAACAGCUCAGUUUGAAAUCUGGCUCCUACGGAGUCCGAGUUGUAAUUUGUAGAAGAUGCUUUGGGUUGUGGGUUUGGCCUAAGUUCCUUGGAACAGGACGUCGCAGAGGGUGAGAAUCCCGUAUGUGGCCGAGGCCCGCGCCUAUGCGAAGCUCUUUCAACGAGUCGAGUUGUUUGGGAAUGCAGCUCAAAAUGGGUGGUAAAUUUCAUCUAAAGCUAAAUAUGGGCCAGAGACCGAUAGCGCACAAGUAGAGUGAUCGAAAGAUGAAAAGCACUUUGGAAAGAGAGUUAAACAGUACGUGAAAUUGUUGAAAGGGAAGCGCUUGCAACCAGACUUGGGCGCUGCCGAUCACCCCGAGUUCUCUCGGGUGCACUCGACCGCGCACAGGCCAGCAUCGGUUCGGGUGGCUGGAUAAAGGCCGUAGGAACGUGGCAUCCUCCGGGGAGUGUUAUAGCCUACGGUGCCAUGCAGCCCAGCCGACCCGAGGACCGCGCCUUCGGGCUAGGAUGCUGGCGUAAUGGUUGUAAGCGACCCG
rnacentral:rRNA from 1 species